rnacentral:lncRNA from 1 species
AUUGAUUGCCAUGGCUGAAGUUGAAGAGACCAGAAAAACGUCAGCAAGCUGAAGUAAUGAAAUCAAAUGGAAGCAACUGAGAGCUGUCUCCAUCGCCCAAAAAGGGAAAGCCCGUUCCUCCUGGCGAGGAAGGAUCACCAUUAAUAGCGAUUGGAAUAAUAGAUCACCAACAUAUAACGGAAGCAGACCGUGGUGGAAGUUACUAGAAAGGAGUCAGGAACGGAACUGGAACAAGGAACGUGAGGCUGCUUUCACUGGACUGGAAGAAGUGACCGUAAAAUCUGCUGCCCUCAAAUUCCCAGGACAAGGGCGAUGGAUUUUACCAUGCCUCCAUCAACAAACGCUGGCUGGCAAAGUUACGUCAUGUCCCAGCAGAGACUCUUAGGCAAGACAGAGGAGUUCAGCUACGCAGCCUGCCGGAAGAACAUCACCUGGGAGGGGUUGCUAGCCUUGAGCUAUAGGUGCCGAUGCACAUGGCUCGUUCUGUCAGGCACGAAGAGGCGUUCGGAACAUCGGGGAACGACUGUAUGCUGCCGUGAAGAACUACAGGCUACCGCCCUCAGCCCUUUGCAAGUUAUCAGGUGUCAAGAGCGGCCAGGAGACUCCAAAUGCCUGCGGAAAGGUUCUCUGCCUGGUCCUGACGAGGAGCCUUCGGCUGUAGGAAGGUUGGCCGCGUUCUUACCGGACUUGCUAACGUUCUAAGGCCCGCCAACUUGAAGAGGAGCAGCUCAGCCCAUUUUGUUGAUUUUGGUGAUACUGUUUUAAGGAAGCACAUAAGUACAGACGGGGUCUGUGAGGGUUUUCGAGCAAGACAGGAAAGAGCAAGGAAGACUGGAGAGUGUGGAAAAACUAAGUGCUGUGAACGUACCGAAGUUGUUAAGGGCUGAGAGAAUUUGGGGUUAAGCCCCUGAAAGGGGCUAAGGCACAAGGAGCAGUAAAAUACUGUCACUGAACACGAGGUUCCUCCCCAGUCCGGGCCUGUGCGCGCACCCUUGCUCUUGCAGACGCAGACACCCUGGAGCUGUAGGGAAGCGGGCAAGCAGGCCCACAAGUGGACUUUGGGCACAGCGGUGCGCAGAGAGCUCCGUGUGCUCGGCAGGCAAGUGGGAUUGGAGCGUGGCAAGAGCUGUUCCGGGCUGCGAGCGCGUAGAGGCCCGUGCGAGCUUGUGCGAGCCCGUGGAUGCCCGUGGGAGCCCGGACGAGCCCGUAGGAGGCCUCUGCGAGCCCGUAGAGGUCCGUGCGAGCUUAUGAGAGCCCGUGCGAGCCCAUACGAGCCCGUGCGAGCCCGGAGGAGGCC